GACGAACGCUGGCGGUGUGCUUAACACAUGCAAGUCGAGCGGUAAGGCCCUUUCGGGGGUACACGAGCGGCGAACGGGUGAGUAACACGUGGGUGACCUGCCCUCAGCUCUGGGAUAAGCCUGGGAAACCGGGUCUAAUACUGGAUAUGACUCCAUGACGCAUGUUGUGGGGUGGAAAGCCUUGUGCGGCUGAGGAUGGGCCCGCGGCCUAUCAGCUUGUUGGUGGGGUGANGGCCUACCAAGGCGACGACGGGUAGCCGGCCUGAGAGGGCGACCGGCCACACUGGGACUGAGACACGGCCCAGACUCCUACGGGAGGCAGCAGUGGGGAAUCUUGCGCAAUGGGCGAAAGCCUGACGCAGCGACGCCGCGUGAGGGAUGACGGCCUGGUGUAA
rnacentral:rRNA from 1 species